CUGGGCCGGUACUUAUAAAGAGUCAUACCGCUAUGAAUUAUUCAUAACCCUUCAAAAUGGCGGAUAUUUGCCAUAAAUAAUUCAUAAGGGAUACAUAAGCGUUAAGAAUAAUUCAGAAGUCGGUGUCAUGCUGAGACUGGUCGAGAGGUGUUAUACGGGCUUAUGAAUAAUUCAGAGGCAUCAUGGCCGAACAACAACAAGUUCGUGUACGUCAGCCAAGGGAAUUUCGUGAAAGGAGAGAUGUCCUGAAUGAACUCAGUGAUACGGAACUCAUCAGAAGGUACCGACUCGAUCGUGCUGGCAUUGUUUUUGUGACAGACUUAGUGCGGCCCAUGUUAUUGAGACCAACUAACCUAACCUUACCUUUCCUCAUCUAUUUUCGUCCUAUAACCUAAACUAAAUAUUACCUAACCAUGGUUGGGGCUAUGCCCGCUAGAUCUCCCGUUAUGUACUAAACCUGGUAAAUUUUUACAUUGUUCCCCGUCACACAGUUCAUGAGGAGAAUAUUUUUUUCUGGUAGAUGUAGGUGUGUUUUGAACAUUUUGAUAACCAUUUCUGUUGCAGAUCAGUAGUUUUCCUUCUUUAUCCCCCCUUCCCUGCAUCAAAAAGUAAAGAUUUAUUAUAAAAUCAGUUAGCACAUUCAUUUAAAACAUACCAGAAAAAAUAUUCAAACGUAACCAAACCAAACCAAACCAAAAUAAUACCGGAAUUCUAUAUGGGUAAGAAAAUUUUUUGGUCCAGUAAGGUUAGGAAGUAUUGUACGGAAAAUGUGUAGGUGAUACUUGACUUUGAUUAAAGGGAUGAUUAAUGAAACAAACAUACAUACAUACACUCAGAAAACUAAAUAAAAAUCUGAAGGACCAUGUUUCAGGAAUACCAGUUGUUCUUACCUGUUGAAGCAAAAUCCUUGUUAACUUGGGCAAGUUUGGGGCGUGCUAUUACAAUGAUAGUGUGCCAUCGCUUCUGGCAUUCCUUUAUGGUCCUCUGCCCCGCAGGAAAGGCUUGCAGGAGUUUGUGCACAAUGGUUUCCCAUGCCUUUUGCUUCGUUUGGUGGGUGCAGCCUUGUUCGCUAAAGUUGCUUCUCAGCACAUGUGCGUGGUCCUUGUAAAGCUGCAGCAAAUACAAUGACUCGUCCAUUGUCCAGUUAGGCUUCCUUGUCCUUUUCUUAUGUGGCGUUGAGGUUGCAGCUGGAGCCUCAUCCAUGAUGACAAAAAAGGCGGUCUAUUGUUGCGGGCGGUGUUCUAUUGUUUACCUUCGAUGCGUUUAGGGUGCCGUGCUAAGGUUAACUACUUUGUUUUGGACAAUAACCUCCAUUUACUUUGAAGAUACAGUAAAAUAAUUACUUAACUAUUAUGAAACUGUGUUUUUAAUGUGUAUUUACAUAUUUUCAGACGUUUCUUUAUCAUUUAAUAGAAUAAAUUGUAUUCAGGGUUCCGACACUUGUAGCCAAUCACUAAUUCACCCUUACCUGUGCCCGUUAUAACUAUGAAAGGGAUAUGAAUUAUUCAUAGUGCUAAUGAACAUUAUUUAAGAAUCUUUCAUAGCUAUUACUAGAUUUAGGACUGAAAUUUAAGAUUUUUUAUAAGUUCCGGCCCUGGGCUAUAUUUUCUGUCCUUCAUGCUAGUCAAUGCUGCCCUGCACCGCCUACUCCCACAUACAGCAGCACAACACAACACCUCAGAGGUGAAUCUUCACAUGUCUGCUAAUCUCACCUCUGGUCAUGAAACGCUUUCCACAAGCAUCACAUUUGAACCCUUUGUGACCAGUGUGUCUUAUGCUAUGAGUCUUCAGGUAUGACUUUAAACAGAAUCUUUUCCCACAAACUUCACAUUCAUGAUUUCUUUCACCAGUGUGUGUAAGGAUGUGUCUGUUGAGGUGACUCUUCCGAUUAAAUCUUUUCCCACAAACUUCACAUUCAUGAUUUCUUUCACCAGUGUGUGUAAGGAUGUGUCUGUUGAGGUUACUCUUCCGAUUAAAUCUUUUCCCACAAACUUCACAUUCAUGAUUUCUUUCAGCAGUGUGUGUAAGGAUGUGUCUGUUGAGGUCACACUUCUGAUUAAAUCUUUUCCCACAAACUUCACAUUCAUGAUUUUUUUCACCAGUGUGUGUAAGGAUGUGUACGUUGAGGUGACCCUUAUGAAUAAAUCUUUUCCCACAAACUUCACAUUCAUGAUUUCUUUCACCAGUGUGUGUAAGAAUGUGUGUGUUGAGGUGACCCUUCCGAUUAAAUCUUUUCCCACAAACUUCACAUUCAUGAUUUCUUUCACCAGUGUGUGUAAGGAUGUGUGUGUUGAGGGUACUCUUCCGAUUAAAUCUUUUCCCACAAACUUCACAUUCAUGAUUUCUUUCACCAGUGUGUGUAAGGAUGUGUCUGUUGAGGUUACCCUUCCGAUUAAAUCUUUUCCCACAAACUUCACAUUCAUGAUUUCUUUCACCAGUGUGUGUAAGGAUGUGUGUGUUGAGGUUACCCUUCCGAUUAAAUCUUUUCCCACAAACUUCACAUUCAUGAUUUUUUUCAGCAGUGUGUGUAAGAACGUGUGUCUUGAGUUUACCCUUCUUGCUGAAACUUUCCCCACAAACUGCACAAUCAUGAUUUCUUUCAGCAGAAUGAGUGAGUGUCUUAGUCAAAGUCACCCUUCCCAGGGAGGCUUUUCUCACACUCCUGGCUCUCAUGGUUUCCUGAACCAGUGUGUGCAAGGCUGUGUCUGAUGAACUUCCUCUCCCCUAUCAAAUUGUCCUACAGUCCUGACACUCAACC